GUGGGAAAGGGAUGUUCGGUAUUCCUGGGAUCUGUGGAAUAGGGAUGUUCGGUAUUCCUGGGAUCUGUGGGAUAGGGAUGUUCGGUAUCCCUGGGAUCUGUGGGAUAGGGAUGUUCGGUAUCGCUGGAAUCUGUGGGAUAGGGAUUUGAGGGAUGUUUGGUAUCCCGGGAAUGUUGGGGAUAGUGGGGAACGAGCCAGGGGGUGAAGGAGGAGAGUUUGGAUCGGAUGACUCGGAGCAAGCCCAAGAAACCUUAGAGUCACCGAACUUUCCAUUG
rnacentral:lncRNA from 1 species